GACGAACGCUGGCGGUGUGCUUAACACAUGCAAGUGGUGCGACGAACCAGGCUUCGGCCUGGGGCAAAGCCGCGAACGGGUGAGUAACACGUGGGUAAUCUGCCCCGAUGACCGGGACAACCCGAGGAAACUCGGGCUAAUACCGGAUGUGGUGCCCAGACAUAAGUCUGGUCACUAAAGGUAGCUUCGGCUUCCGCAUUGGGAGGGGCCCGCGGCCCAUUAGCUUGUUGGUGGGGUCAAGGCCUACCAAGGCAACGAUGGGUAGCUGGUCUGAGGGGACGAUCAGCCACACUGGGACUGAGACAUGGCCCAGACUCCUACGGGAGGCAGCAGUGGGGAAUCUUGCGCAAUGCGCGAAAGCGUGACGCAGCAACACCGCGUGAGGGAAGACGGCCUUAGGGUUGUAAACCUCUUUCAGAUGGGACGAAGGUUGUCCGGUGAAUAGCCGAGAUGAUUGACGGUACCGUCAGAAGAAGCUCCGGCUAACUACGUGCCAGCAGCCGCCGUAACAC
rnacentral:rRNA from 1 species